rnacentral:rRNA from 1 species
ACUUCGGUACUUAGUGGCGGACGGGUGAGUAACGCGUGAGAAUCUGCCUUCAGGUUCGGGACAACCACUGGAAACGGUGGCUAAUACCGAAUGUGCAGAGAUGUGAAAUAUUUAUAGCCUGAAGAUGAGCUCGCGUCUGAUUAGCUAGUAGGUGUGGUAAAAGCGCACCUAGGCGACGAUCAGUAGCUGGUCUGAGAGGAUGAUCAGCCACACUGGGACUGAGACACGGCCCAGACUCCUACGGGAGGCAGCAGUGGGGAAUUUUCCGCAAUGGGCGAAAGCCUGACGGAGCAAUACCGCGUGAGGGAGGAAGGCUCUUGGGUUGUAAACCUCUUUUCUCAGGGAAGAAAAAAAUGACGGUACCUGAGGAAUAAGCAUCGGCUAACUCCGUGCCAGCAGCCGCGGUAAUACGGAGGAUGCAAGCGUUAUCCGGAAUGAUUGGGCGUAAAGCGUCCGCAGGUGGCUAUGUAAGUCUGCUGUUAAAUAGUCUAGCUCAACUAGAUAAAGGCAGUGGAAACUACAUGGCUAGAGUGCGUUCGGGGCAGAGGGAAUUCCUGGUGUAGCGGUGAAAUGCGUAGAGAUCAGGAAGAACACCGGUGGCGAAAGCGCUCUGCUAGGCCGCAACUGACACUGAGGGACGAAAGCUAGGGGAGCGAAUGGGAUUAGAUACCCCAGUAGUCCUAGCCGUAAACGAUGGAUACUAGGCGUGGCUUGUAUCGACCCGAGCCGUGCCGUAGCUAACGCGUUAAGUAUCCCGCCUGGGGAGUACGCAGGCAACUGUGAAACUCAAAGGAAUUGACGGGGGCCCGCACAAGCCGGUGGAGUAUGUGGUUUAAUUCGAUGCAACGCGAAGAAACCUUACCAGGAMCUUGACAUGUCGCGAAUUUCUGUGAAAGCAGAGAGUGCCUUCGGGAGCGCGAACACAGGUGGUGCAUGGCUGUCGUCAGCUCGUGUUCGUGAGAUGUUGGGGUUAAGUCCCGCCAACGAGCGCAACCCUUCGUUUUWAGUNGCCMUCAUUAAGUUAGGCACUCUAGAGAGACUGCCGGUGACAAACCGGAGGAAGGUGGGGAUGACGUCAAGUCAGCAUGCCCUUACGUUCUGGGCUACACACGUACUACAAUGCUACGGACAAAGGGCAGCUACACAGCGAUGUGAUGCUAAUCUCAGAAACCGUAGCUCAGUUCAGAUCGCAGGCUGCAACUCGCGUGCGUGAAAGGAGGGAAUCGCUAGUAAUUGCAGGUCAGCAUACUGCAGUGAAUUCGUUCCCGGGCCUUGUACACACCGCCCGUCACACCAUGGAAGCUGGUAGUGCCCGAAGUCAUUACCCCAACUGUUCGCAGAGGGGGAUGCCUAAGGCAGGACUGGUGACUGGGGUGAAGUCGUAACAAGGUAGCCGUACCGGAAGGUGUGGCUGGAUCACCUCCUUU